UCACUCUUGUUUCUCUGCAUCACGGAUAAAUCUUUCGUCUUUUACUGAAGAUUUCCGUGCAGAGGAACUCUCAUUGAGUUUAAACUCAAUUUUUCUCAGCCCUUGAGAAAAUCAAGAGU
rnacentral:snRNA from 1 species